UUCAUCAACGGUGCCUAACACAGGAAGUACCCCAAAUUUGUGUCGAUGAUUAAUGCAGCAUUCAUUUGAAUUCCACAUGUACACACAUUUAAUUACACACACUCACAUACACACACUCACACACACACGCUUGCAGGAUGUCUUCUCCUGCAUCUCUAGGGGUGUGGGUUCCAGGUGGGCCCCUGCCAUGAAGUUUCUGAUCAUGCCCCAGUGAUAAUAUGGAUGUGACGGAAAGAAGUGAGCUGUACAUCAGAAAUCAAGUUUGAAAUUUGGGAAUGUCUUUACGUUCUUAGAGACCUCAUCUGCACAGGCCUCAGCUUUCAACUCAGGCAGAGUACGUAAGUUUGCAUGAGAACGUAGAGUAGACAAAAGUGAGAGACGGCAGAAAGAAAGAGGUACAGGGUCUUGUGUGGAGCCUCCCACAUGGUUCUCUUCCAGUUCCCUAGGCAACCGGCCCCUGAUGAGUGGUUCUAUCUGGAGAGCCAUAUAUUAUUUCCAUAGAUGUUAAUUCCAUUUUUUAUGAACCCUUUCCCAAAGAGCCACAGAAUGUCAAAAGUGCUGAGAGAAGAAGUUGAGCCUUCUAUAAAUGUCAAAGCAAACAGAACCAGGCUCAGAGAAAGCAAGCACCUUCUGGGCACACAUAGCUUCUGAAGAGGCCAGGUGUACAGCUGACUUGGGAUUGAGGGGUUCUCCACGUAGUGAGGAGUUUUGUUACAGAAAGAACGCAGACCGCUACCAUAUCUGCUGAAGUGCAGGUCUGCUGGUGUCACUAGAGAGGAAGGAGACCGCAAGAAGACAGCGGCCGGGGGGAUCUAGGAGAUGGAAAGGGUCCUGA
rnacentral:lncRNA from 1 species